rnacentral:misc_RNA from 1 species
ACGACUGGCUCUCCGCUGCCUGCACUUAUAAUAUCAUUGUGUACUUGCGUUUUCGAGGGGACAUAUAUUAUAGCCGCGCGAGCUCUCGCUGAAUUGUUUUAUUUAUUUUUUAUUUUUUAUUUUUUCUGUUUACCAUCACCGGGUGUUUUUUUUUUUUUCGCACCUUUCUCAAGCUUCUUUUUUUCUUUUUCCGGUCACUCGGGCAAUAAGUAUUUUACGUGAAAAUCGAAGGAAAAUUGCCGGUGCUGGGAAGAGUGUUUCCUCGGUUGCUCGAGCGAAAAAAAUACCUCUGUGGUGUAUAGGUACGUGAGGAUAGUUGAUCAAAGUGUAUUUUGAGUGUGCGAGGAUAACGUGGCAUGUCUUCCUUCGCUGUUUGAUCGAAGCGAGCGUAACAUGGUAUUCGAAGCUGUCUCCGAGGAGGAGCGCCAGGAGUUCUUCCGGCAGGGGUAUAGCGCUCAUCUGCCAGGGUAUACAGGGCACUGUCCGACCCUCAAGUUUCGAGUUGGCAAGCGAUAUGGAGCGUGCACCGAAGAAAUCAUGAAAGAGCUGAUUGACAAAAAUAUACUCAAAACAGCACCAUAUCAAUUCCGAGCAGCAUCAACUAAAGAAAAUUUAGUCCACAUUCAGCGAGAGAAAGACAUCAGGAGGAAUCGGAAAAAAGAUUCGUACACAUUCAAGACUCCACCGUACAUUUUGGGAUAUACAGGCUACAUACCAGGCUACAGCAGCAGGUACGGCCUGACCUUCAUGAAGGCGGUUGACGAAGGCACCACCGAAUGGCGCGAGGCGCAGAGCAAGCUACGCUCACGCCGGGACGCGAUGCGGGCGCACGUAGAGCGCACGAAUCCGCGAAACCUCCUGUCCCGGGUGCGUGCCGACAACGUCGACGUGGAGAUCGACCACGGGCAUGGUGGAAAGCGACAAUAUUUCGACAACCAAGUAUCGGCGGAAAGUCCGCCAAUCGUGGGCUACACCGGACACAUUCCAGGAGCAAAGGGGGAAAUAGCCCUGUCCAAGCGAUACGGCCUGGCUGCGAAAAAGGGCCUGGAACUGUUCGAAAAAGAGCAAAGGUCGAGACUGCUGAGCCCAACCAAAGACGCGGAUGCAAUAGACAGGGUGCUCGAAGUCGCCAACGUCGACGACACUGGCCACCUGAAGCCGUAAUCUACCGAUGUGGGCAGCUAAGGGAUUUUUUUCCCGAAUUUUUUUGUUACUUGAAACGUGUCGUACCUGACAAGAAGCACCGUCCUUGUACAUGCCACAUCUGGUGCUAACCUCGCCUGUCGCUUUGUCUACAACCUGAUAGCUUU